GACGAACGCUGGCGGCGUGCUUAACACAUGCAAGUCGAACGGAAAGGCCCUGCUUUUGUGGGUUGCUCGAGUGGCGAACGGGUGAGUAACACGUGAGUAACCUGCCCUUGUCUUUUGGAUAACUUCAGGAAACUGGGGCUCAUACCGGAUAGGAGCUCCUGCUGCGUGGUGGGGGUUGGAAAGUUUCGGCGGUUGGGGAUGGACUCGCGGCUUAUCCGCUUGUUGGUGGGGUAGUGGCUUACCAAGGCUUUGACGGGUAGCCGGCCUGAGAGGGUGACCGGCCACAUUGGGACUGAGGUACGGCGCAGACUCCUACGGGCGGCAGCAGUGGGGAACAUUGCACAGUGGGCGGAAGCCUGAUGCAGCAACGCCGCGUGCGGGAUGACGGCCUUCGGGUUGUAAACCGCUUUCGCCUGUGACGAAGCGUGAGUGACGGUAAUGGGUAAAGAAGCACCGGCUAACUACGUG
rnacentral:rRNA from 1 species